UAGGGAAUCUUCGGCAAUGGACGAAAGUCUGACCGAGCAACGCCGCGUGAGUGAAGAAGGUUUUCGGAUCGUAAAGCUCUGUUGUAAGAGAAGAACGGGUGUGAGAGUGGAAAGUUCACACUGUGACGGUAUCUUACCAGAAAGGGACGGCUAACUACGUGCCAGCAGCCGCGGUAAUACGUAGGUCCCGAGCGUUGUCCGGAUUUAUUGGGCGUAAAGCGAGCGCAGGCGGUUAGAUAAGUCUGAAGUUAAAGGCUGUGGCUUAACCAUAGUACGCUUUGGAAACUGUUUAACUUGAGUGCAGAAGGGGAGAGUGGAAUUCCAUGUGUAGCGGUGAAAUGCGUAGAUAUAUGGAGGAACACCGGUGGCGAAAGCGGCUCUCUGGUCUGUAACUGACGCUGAGGCUCGAAAGCGUGGGGAGCGAACAGGAUUAGAUACCCUGGUAGUCCACGCCGUAAACGAUGAGUGCUAGGUGUUAGGCCCUUUCCGGGGCUUAGUGCCGCAGCUAACGCAUUAAGCACUCCGCCCUGGGGAGUACGACCGCAAGGUUGA
rnacentral:rRNA from 1 species